AGCGAACGCUGGCGGCAGGCCUAACACAUGCAAGUCGAACGAAGUCUUCGGACUUAGUGGCGGACGGGUGAGUAACACGUGGGAACGUACCUUUUGGUUCGGAACAACUCAGGGAAACUUGAGCUAAUACCGGAUGAGCCCUUAGGGGGAAAGAUUUAUCGCCGAAAGAGCGGCCCGCGUUAGAUUAGCUAGUUGGUGAGGUAAAGGCUCACCAAGGCUACGAUCUAUAGCUGGUCUGAGAGGAUGAUCAGCCACACUGGGACUGAGACACGGCCCAGACUCCUACGGGAGGCAGCAGUGGGGAAUCUUGCGCAAUGGGCGAAAGCCUGACGCAGCCAUGCCGCGUGAAUGAUGAAGGUCUUAGGAUUGUAAAAUUCUUUUACCAGGGACGAUAAUGACGGUACCUGGAGAAAAAGCACCGGCUAACUACGUGCCAGCAGCCGCGGUAAUAC
rnacentral:rRNA from 1 species